rnacentral:lncRNA from 1 species
CAGAGAACAACUGUUAUUGUGGAGUCCGUUUGGGAAAAAUUGCAGCAAAGGAUGUCAAAUCUGUAAAGACUAACCCGAGAAAAAUGGGUAUAAGAAAACAUAGUAUACGAGGCUAACCAGUAAUAGGUCUCGAAAGAGUCUCGAAAGAAUGAACGCACGAAAAUAAUGCACCAUUGGGUCUGAUGAUUGUGUGCAACUUCCUUCAAGUUGUUCUACGGAGAGCUAACUGAAGAAAUCACUCAAGUCGCGAUUCUUCAUCAGCCGCUUCUCUCUAACAACUGAUUUGCUUGUGUGUUCUUAAUAAUUUAUUAUUAUUAAUGCUUUACUUCUUCAGAAAAUAGAUUGUGAUUGUGUA